ACUUUUAGUGUCUAUUUAAUUUUUCAUAAAAUGUAAAUAGUGCCGUGUAAUUAAUUAAAAAAAGACAAAACUCAGUGAUAUGUUGCAACAGUUGCAACUUGCAACAUAGUUUCUUGGGAGAGGGGAUGUUUGAAAUUGCAUUAAUAGUGAUUAUUGCAUAAUAUAAUUCUCAAAUAAUUUCCAUGUUGUAUUAAUUGAAAAAGCUCUGUGGGGUGGGGUAUUACUUUUGUUCACUCAGCAAACGCAAAUGAGAAUCUUAAGCGUAAUGAUUCCUGAAAAACGACAAAAAAACUCUGUUGGUUUAACUAUGUGGCAGAGCUUUGAUUAUCCAUCAGACACGAGUACGUUCAGCAAGCCCUUUUCUCUAUCAGAUUUUGCUUUGAUUCGAUUUUUAAAAAUAAAGCAUCAUAAGUGGCUAAAGCUACAAUGUCGGGCAUUGAGGCCCGGCAUUAGAGGUGGUAAAAAUAUCUGUUCGGUCUAGACUCGGAUUGUACCUGGGCAUUGCUGACUGGAUAUAAAGCUGGGUCGAUCUUGAGCAUCAC
rnacentral:lncRNA from 1 species